AAAUCUAAUAGUGGUGCAGUAUCCUAGUCAGUACGGCUUUUCGGAAAGCGGGCCUAAAAAUCCGCCAAAUGGCACAUCGAUGAAGUUUCUGGUGUUUUGCUUUGAACGCCCAGUUCGGGGCUGAUGCUGGGAGUUAAGGUUUAGGGGCGGUUUCCAACGGCAUGGUUACCCUUCCCCCUUUUCCGUGGAGGCCUAUGACUGUGGCGGCCCAGACCUCCUAAGGGAGCAAGUCGUUACGGCAUAGGGGAAAACCUGCUUCGCGGUUAGUAAUCCGUGUCCUCACAAGGGACGCGGCAUGAAUGCUGUGGGCAGCGUAGCCAGCCUUGAGUGGAGGUGCGCGAAUACACGUUCUAACACCUUUUUCACGGUCCGGCCAGACCGUAAAGAGGUCUAUGCGUGUUGAAACCAUCUCUGCAAAAGAGGAUACGGAGAGCUAUGGCUGUUUGGGAAAACUUCUAGGCUGUCUGAAAUAUGGAUGGACAGAGGAUUGCAGUGCGGACUCAGUGGCAGUCCGGCGACCAUAAGGGUGUGGGUCUUUAAAGGGAAACCGCUUCUUCGGCGACGAUAAAGCAGACCCUCGGGAAAGCCUGCCGGACCUAAGCCGCAAACUUUACUCUGUUCAUUGCCCUAUUAUUUUAA
rnacentral:sRNA from 1 species